AUUGAACGCUGGCGGCAGGCCUAACACAUGCAAGUCGAACGGUAGCACAGGAGAGCUUGCUCUCUGGGUGACGAGUGGCGGACGGGUGAGUAAUGCAUGGGGAGCUGCCCAAUCGAGGGGGAUACCAGCUGGAAUCGGCUGCUAAUACCGCAUACGCCCUGAGGGGGAAAGGUGGGGACCUUCGGGCCUACCGCGAUUGGAUGCACCCAUGUGGGAUUAGCUAGUUGGUGAGGUAACGGCUCACCAAGGCGACGAUCUCUAGCUGGUCUGAGAGGAUGACCAGCCACACUGGAACUGGGACACGGUCCAGACUCCUACGGGAGGCAGCAGUGGGGAAUAUUGCACAAUGGGGGAAACCCUGAUGCAGCCAUGCCGCGUGUGUGAAGAAGGCCUUCGGGUUGUAAAGCACUUUCAGUGGGGAGGAAGGGUUGAUGUCUAAUACGCAUCAACAUUGACGUUACCCACAGAAGAAGCACCGGCUAACUCCGUGCCAGCAGCCGCCGUAA
rnacentral:rRNA from 1 species